rnacentral:tRNA from 1 species
GGAGAGAUGGCUCAGUGGUUAAGAGCACUGACUGCUCUUCCAGAGGUCCUGAGUUCAAUUCCCAGCCACUACG